rnacentral:rRNA from 1 species
CCCAGCACCGAAGCCUGCGGCAGUUUUGCCGUUAGGCAAUGUGGUGUUUCGGUCGGCUCGCGGGACCGCCACUCCAUUCGAAGUCCAGCAUUGAGUAUGGUAACCUGGAUUUGGCCCAGAGAGGGUGAAAGGCCCGUGCGAAUGGAAGUCACAUACAUGUGAGGCGGUUCAUCAGGUCGACCUUCGAGUCGGGUUGUUUGAGAAUGCAGCCCUAAGUGGGUGGUAAACUCCAUCCAAGGCUAAAUACAGACACGAGUCCGAUAGCGAACAAGUACCGUGAGGGAAAGUUGAAAAGUACUCUGAAGAGAGAGUAAACAGUACGUGAAGCCGUAUGGAGGUAAACGGGUGGCGUCAAGCUGCAAGCCCAGAGGAUUCAGUUGGUCACUGUGUGUGUAUGCCUGUGUACUUCAGUCGGUUAUAGCUUGGACAGUCCACCGGUAAACGGAGGGCCCGGCCGUCAGGCUGGGAUGUACGUUCCACCAGGUUGGUGGUGUACGCUGUUCGACUAAUGGACUGGGUGGCCAAUGCACUUCCUCUGAUAUGGUGAACACCACGAUCGGUGGUACUGCCAGUCUGGUGUGGCCAAGUUGCGCCUAGUUUGGCACCUGUGUCGACUGCGCGUGAUCACAGGCAGGUUUGGUGGACGGUGGGCUUGCC